rnacentral:rRNA from 1 species
CCUACGGGAGGCAGCAGUGGGGAAUUUUGGACAAUGGGCGAAAGCCUGAUCCAGCAAUGCCGCGUGCAGGAUGAAGGCCUUCGGGUUGUAAACUGCUUUUGUACGGAACGAAACGGUUCUUUCUAAUAAAGAGAGCUAAUGACGGUACCGUAAGAAUAAGCACCGGCUAACUACGUGCCAGCAGCCGCGGUAAUACGUAGGGUGCAAGCGUUAAUCGGAAUUACUGGGCGUAAAGCGUGCGCAGGCGGUUAUGUAAGACAGUUGUGAAAUCCCCGGGCUCAACCUGGGAAUUGCAUCUGUGACUGCAUAGCUAGAGUACGGUAGAGGGGGAUGGAAUUCCGCGUGUAGCAGUGAAAUGCGUAGAUAUGCGGAGGAACACCGAUGGCGAAGGCAAUCCCCUGGACCUGUACUGACGCUCAUGCACGAAAGCGUGGGGAGCAAACAGGAUUAGAUACCCUGGUAGUCCACGCCCUAAACGAUGUCAACUGGUUGUUGGGUCUUCACUGACUCAGUAACGAAGCUAACGCGUGAAGUUGACCGCCUGGGGAGUACGGCCGCAAGGUUGAAACUCAAAUGAAAUUGACGG